AACCAAUGAUGAAACCGUAACUUGCCAGUUCUGCUUCUGAACACAUUGAUGUUACACGUUACAAAUUUCUGACAC
rnacentral:snoRNA from 1 species